rnacentral:rRNA from 1 species
GAGGAAUAUUGGUCAAUGGACGCAAGUCUGAACCAGCCAUGCCGCGUGAAGGAUGAAGGCCUUCUGGGUUGUAAACUUCUUUUAUUGGGGAAGAAAAUUAUGGUUUCUACUAUAACCGACGGUACCCAAGGAAUCAGCACCGGCUAACUCCGUGCCAGCAGCCGCGGUAAUACGGAGGGUGCAAGCGUUAUCCGGAUUCACUGGGUUUAAAGGGUGUGUAGGCGGGCUGUUAAGUCAGUGGUGAAAUCUCCGGGCUCAACCCGGAAACUGCCAUUGAUACUAUCAGUCUUGAAUACCGUUGAGGUAGGCGGAAUAUAUCAUGUAGCGGUGAAAUGCAUAGAUAUGAUAUAGAACACCGAUUGCGAAGGCAGCUUACUAAACGGUCAUUGACGCUGAGGCACGAAAGCGUGGGGAUCAAAC